rnacentral:rRNA from 1 species
CCGGAGCUUGCUCCACCGAAAGAAAAGGAGUGGCGAACGGGUGAGUAACACGUGGGUAACCUNCCCAUCAGAAGGGGAUAACACUUGGAAACAGGUGCUAAUACCGUAUAACAAUCGAAACCGCAUGGUUUUGAUUUGAAAGGCGCUUUCGGGUGUCGCUGAUGGAUGGACCCGCGGUGCAUUAGCUAGUUGGUGAGGUAACGGCUCACCAAGGCCACGAUGCAUAGCCGACCUGAGAGGGUGAUCGGCCACAUUGGGACUGAGACACGGCCCAAACUCCUACGGGAGGCAGCAGUAGGGAAUCUUCGGCAAUGGACGAAAGUCUGACCGAGCAACGCCGCGUGAGUGAAGAAGGUUUUCGGAUCGUAAAACUCUGUUGUUAGAGAAGAACAAGGAUGAGAGUAACUGUUCAUCCCUUGACGGUAUCUAACCAGAAAGCCACGGCUAACUACGUGCCAGCAGCCGCGGUAAUACGUAGGUGGCAAGCGUUGUCCGGAUUUAUUGGGCGUAAAGCGAGCGCAGGCGGUUUCUUAAGUCUGAUGUGAAAGCCCCCGGCUCAACCGGGGAGGGUCAUUGGAAACUGGGAGACUUGAGUGCAGAAGAGGAGAGUGGAAUUCCAUGUGUAGCGGUGAAAUGCGUAGAUAUAUGGAGGAACACCAGUGGCGAAGGCGACUCUCUGGUCUGUAACUGACGCUGAGGCUCGAAAGCGUGGGGAGCAAACAGGAUUAGAUACCCUGGUAGUCCACGCCG